rnacentral:rRNA from 1 species
GACGAACCGAGCGAACGUUGUUCGGAAUCACUGGGCUUAAAGGGCGCGUAGGCGGAUCAGCAAGUCCGGGGUGAAAUCUUUCGGCUCAACCGGAAAAGGGCCUUGGAUACCGCUGGUCUGGAGGGAGGUAGGGGCAGCUGGAACUUCCGGUGGAGCGGUGAAAUGCGUUGAUAUCGGAAGGAACUCCGGUGGCGAAGGCGAGCUGCUGGACCUCUUCUGACGCUGAGGCGCGAAAGCUAGGGGAGCAAACGGGG